rnacentral:ncRNA from 1 species
GGGGACCUUCGGGGCCCUGUAACAUCCGGGUAGUCUGUCAGCGGCGGUACUUCCAACCGCCCGGCAAAUACCCAAUACAUAGCCGCCUCACGUGGACCCCGGCCCGACUUUUCCGGACCAAACGAGGGCGGCGCUUGCUAAACGGAAGACAGAAA